rnacentral:lncRNA from 1 species
AUGCCGGGCAUAACCCCCACUUGGAAGCAGGGUUCUAAGGUGGGACUGGGGGAACGAAGGCAGAGUCCUGGAGCGGGAACCCGAGGCCUCUGUAAAUACCAGCUGCCAGGUCUGGAGGGGGUGAGGAGUGAGGGCCCCUGGAGAUGCAAAUGGCCCCUGACAUGCCUCCUUCUUGCGGCAGGCUACGGCAACCUAAAAAAUGGCCGCCCGCCUCUUCUGCAUCUUCUUCGCUCUUGUGGGGAUCCCGCUCAACCUCGUGGUGCUCAACCGGCUGGGGCAUCUUAUGCAGCGGGGGAUGCACCGCUGUGCCCGCAGGCUGGGGGGUGCCCGGCAGGACCCGACCAAAGCUCGGUGGCUUGCGGGCGCUGGCGCCCUCCUCUCGGGCCUCCUGCUUUUCCUGCUGCUGCCCCCGCUGCUCUUCUGCCACAUGGAGGGCUGGAGCUACGUGGAGAGCUUCUACUUCGCCUUCAUCACCCUCAGCACCGUGGGCUUCGGCGACUACGUGAUUGGGAUGGACCCCUCCCGGAGGUACCCGCUGUGGUACAAGAAUACGGUGUCCCUGUGGAUCCUCUUUGGGAUGGCGUGGCUGGCCUUAAUCAUCAAAUUCACCCUCUCCCUGCUAGAGACCCCACGGGGGGCGUGUUCCCGCUACCACCACAGCUGCAAAGAGAACUUCAAGCCCCGAAGCUGCAGGCAGAGUCCGGAUGGGGAGGCGGAACCCCGUUUGCCACAGCCCGGCUGCCGUCCAGAGGAGCCUAUGGGGAUCAGGCAGCAUCCAGAACCCUCUACCCAGGCCUCAUGCUGUGGAAAGGACAACUAGCUAUACUUCAGUAG